UUUUCCUCCUGGCAGGCCUCUCUCUCUCUCUCUUCCUCUCUAUCCUCUAACUCGGUGGUUCUCAAACUUUUGGUCUCACUGUCUUUAUGCUAUUAAAAAUUGUUUCCCAAAUUAAAAAAAAAAAUAGGUUUUGUUUAUGUGGGUUAUAUUUAUAGAUAUUUACCAUAUUCGAAAUAAAAACUAAAUUUGAAUUUGUAGGCCCUCCAAAAGGGUUUCAGAGAGAUCCAGGAUUCUCUGGGCCACACUGCCAGACUCUCUGGUCUAGCUCACUUUGCCCCCUUAACUAGCCUGCCCUUUAAUAUUUAGGUCACUUAUCCAGUUAGACAUUAUUUUGGAAUAUGCUAUAGAAUAUUUGUCACGCUUUUUUCAUUAUCCUUCAGCAGCCAAACUGAUUUUCCUAAAGCAAUCUCUCCUACCUUGCCACCCUUGCUUCUCAAUAAACCCUGGUCGUUUUCUGCUACCUCUGCCCCUGCCUUUCCUGGUCUCCUUCAAGUUCCAACUGGAAACCCUUCCCAGAAAGGUUUCCCCAAUCCCUGUUAGUUCUGGUACCUUCCCUCUAUUGAAGAUUUCUAAUUUUAUUCAUUAGAUAUCUUGUUUUUACAGACUGUUUCUGAAGAUGAUUUUGCCUAUUAGAUUGUGGGAUACUGAAGUGCAGGGAUUGACUUUUGCCUUUCUUUGCCACCAAAGAGUUUAGCACAAUUCCUGACUCGUAGCUCUUUAAAAUGCUCACUGACUAACUUCUUUCUGCCAGACUGUUUUCCCCAGUGUUUUUUUUUUUUUUUUUUUCAUGAUUACAAUUGGAAAUUAUUUUCUUGGUAAUUUAUACUGGCAUUUUAUCAUACAUUGGAUUAUUAAGUUGCUUUAUUUCUGAUUAUUACUACCUUUAUUCAAGAUUUAUGGAUAUCCUUCAAAUGAAUGUGCUAUUUAGGUUAUCCCUGUGAAGUGUCCCUUUGUUAAUUCUAUAGGUAUAACGAUUCUUCUGUAAGUCACCUUUGGGAGUAUAGUAAUUUUAAUUUCAUUGGGAUGGCCCAGCAUUUAAACAUUGAAUAUUAUUCUAGCUAUUUAAGUUGCUCUUCUUUUCUUUAAGCUUCAUCAGUUUAAAUUUAAUAUCAAAUAAAACAAGCAUUUUCACAUACAAAGUGGAGAAAAUUAAGAGGCUUGUAGAUUAAAUCAUAGAUUUCUAUUAUAUCUACACUUUUCUUUUAAGAGUAUAUUACAGGGGCAGCUAAGAGGCCUAGUAGGUAAGAGUACUGGUCCUAGAGUCAGGGAGAUCUGAAUUCAGAUUUAGCCUUCUUAACACUUAUUUGCUGUGUGUUCUAUCUCUGUGAACCUUAGAAAACUCAGAAGGUGGAAGGAAAAGUUUGUUACACUAGGGUGAAAGUCAGUUUGUAACCCAUACUUCUAGUGGUAGCAGCAGCAUCAGCAUCAGCAGCAUUUGUGGAUUCUUAUUCUCGAUAUGGGCUCCAAAGGUUAGAAGCUGGUUCUAGUCCAGUUGACAGAAAACAGCAGCACAAAAAAGCCUGGCACUUGAGACAGUGCCUUUCACCAACAGUUUUCUUUGAAGGCCCCCAAAUACUGGGUUACCCAGCACAUCCCUGAAAGGUAUACUGCCAAGGAGGAUAGCCUAUGGACUAGAAGAAAGAAAACAAAAGUGACCAAUCAGGAAUAUGGGAGGAAAAAAGGACCUAAAAAAAUAAUAAAAUAGCAGAAAAGCACUUCAAGACACUUGGAGCAAUUAAAUUGAAUCAUUGAGCACUGAAAGAAAUGUCACUGUCACUAAAAUAUGAUAUACAUAUUGCUUAGCUCCUGCAGAACAAAUGAUCCUUAAAGAUGAAGAUGACUUCAUUUUUAUCUGUAUCCCCACAUACACUAUUUCCAAUAUAUUUAACUUCACUAUAUUUGUUGAAUUCAACAGAAAUAAAUUGUGAACAAAGGAUGUACAGGAGGAAAAAUAUUUCAAUUUAAGAAAAAAAAAUUAAAUAGGUAAGAGAAGAGCCUUGAAAGUAUAGACCUCAUUUCUAAAAUAUAUAGAGAAUUGAUUCAAAUUUAUAGUAAUUCGAGUCAUUCUCCAAUUGACAAAUGGUCAAAGGAAACAAUUUUUAGAUGAAGAAACUGAAAAUAUUUCUAGUCAUAUGAAAAGGUGCUCUAAAUAAUUAUUGAUCAGAGAAGUGUAAAUUAAGACAACUUUGAGACACCACUACAUUCCUCUCAGAUUGACUAAGGUGACAGGAAAAGAUAAUGACAACUGCUGGAAGUGAUGUGGGAAAACUGGGACACUGAUACAUUGUUGGUGGAAUUGCAAACGGAUCCAGCCAUUUUGGAGAGCAAUUCGGAACUCUGCUCAGAAAGUUAUCAAACUGUCCAUACCCUUUGAUCCAGUGGUGUUUCUAGCAGACUUAUAUCCCAAAGAUAUUUUUUUUCCUGAGGCAAAUGGGGCUAAGUGACUUGCCCAGGAUCAUACAGUGCGAAAGUAUUAAGUAUCUGAGGCCAGAUCUGAGGCCAGAUUUGAACUCAGGUCCUCCUGACUGUGUCACCUAGUUGCCCCUCAAUGAAAUCUUACAAGUGGGAAAAGGAGCCACAUGUGCAAAAAUGUAGUGUUUUUUGUACUUUUUGUAGCGGUAAGAAACUGGAAACUCAGUGGAUGCUUGUCAGAUGAAGAAUGGCUGAGUAAGUUAUGGUAUAUGAAUGUUAUGGAAUAUUAUUGUUCUGUAAGAAACGACCAGCAGGAUGAUUUCAGAAAGGCCUGGAGAGACUUACAUGAACUGAUGCUGAGGAAGUGAAUAGAACCAAGAGAAUAUUGUACACGGCAACAACAAGAUUAUACAAUGAUCAAGUCUGAUGGAUGUGACUCUUUCCAACAGUGAGAUGAUUCAGGCCUAUUCCAAUGAUUUUGUGAUGAAGCAAGCCAUCUCUACCCAGAGAGAAGACUGGGGGAACUGAGGGUGGAUCACAACAUAGCAUUUUCACUUCUUUUGUUGUUGUUUGAAUUUUGUUUUCUUUCUCAUUUUCUUUCCUUUUUGAUCUGAUUUUUCUUGUGCAGCAAGAUAAUUGUAUAAAUAUGUAUGCAUAUACUGGAUAUAACAUAUAUUUCUACCAUGUUUAACACAUAUUGGACUACUUACCAUCUAGGGGAGGAGGUGGAGGAAGGGGAUAAAAUUGGAACACAAGGUUUUGCAAAAGUUAACGUUAAAAAAUUAUCCGUGCAUAUGUUUUGAAAAAUAAAAAGCUUUAAUAAAAAAAUUUUAAAAAGAAA